UCUGAAUAGUGUUGCUGCUGUUUACCUGUGACAAGUCCUUACUUCCCCCAUGCUGAAGUAUAACACCAGAGAAGCACGCUGAGGCAAGUUUAGAGUGGAAAGUAGAAGCUUUAUUAAAGGACAGCAGAAAAGACUUCUCCCUGAAGGAAGAAGGGGAUCCAAGAGGUGGAAUCCAUGGAAGAGGGAGGCUUCCCUCUUGUAUAGCUAAGGUCUUCUUUCAGCUUUCCCACAUUCCUGUGGGCUCCUGUCCUUUGUUCUGUUAUCUUACAGUGAUAGAAUGCAGGUGGAAAGGCCCAAAGGAUGAGGGACAGAUGGGCCGAAGGAGUAAUCUGGGCAGGAAGGACUUUUGGAUUAGCAUCUCCAUGUUUGCUGGGAGCUGCUUCAUUAACAUUUCCUUGGGAUGGGCUCUGGGCCUUGGGGACAUUUUCAAUUCCCCUAUCCCUGGACUCCAUUCUCAAUAUGGCCUUCAUUCUCGAUUUUACUCAAUAUUAGACACGAUUUACCUAACUACACUAACUACCUAUCUUUAAAUCUGGCUUCAAUAAUAUAUUAACCUUGUAUUGUAUAUUAUUUUUUUAUUUUUAAAUUUUCUUCUUUUUCUUAAUUAUUAUUAUGAUGUUUUUUUAUACUCUAUUGUCUUCCCACUUACUUCUCUCCCCAAAGUAUUUUUCUAUUUUCUCCUGUUACUAACCAACUUCUAACUUCUUUUGAUUUCUCCUUCACAAUUCCUAAGGUAUAAUCACUCUAAAUCUCACCUUUUACCUCCUUAACAUCUCAUCCUACAACCUCCCCCACUCUCUCUUUGUCUACAUCAGAAACUUUAGACACUUUUGCAAAACCUACUGUUUAUAUUGUAGAUAAUAACUGAACCCAUCAUUUCUGUCUAUUGUGACAAAACCAUAAAUGUCUUAAGAGGAGCUAUUUGACUUAAGACUGUAUAUGGUUUGUAUUGGGAUCUGUUAAUAUUGAUCUCCCCCUUAAAAAAGAGGUAUUAUAACCCUGCAGAGACACUAUAAGUCUAUAGGGUAAAAACUGUAACACCUCGGAUCCUCA
rnacentral:lncRNA from 1 species